CCUACGGGAGGCUGCAGUGGGGAAUAUUGGGCAAUGGGCGCAAGCCUGACCCAGCAACGCCGCGUGAAGGAUGAAGGCUCUCUGGUUGUAAACCUUCUUUUACAGGGAAGAGUAGAAGACGGUACCUGUCGAAUAAGACAUAGCUAACUACGUGCCAGCAGCCGCGGUAAUACGUAGGUGGCAAGUGUUGUCCGGAUUUACUGGGUUGAAAGGGAGUGUUGCCGGGUUGACAAGUCAGAUGUGAAAUCCUGCGGCUUAACCGCAGAACUGCAUUUGAACCUGUUGGUCUUGAGUACUGGAGAGGCAGGCGGAAUGCCUGGUGUAGCGGUGAAAUGCGUAGAUAUUAGGAAGAACUCCGGUGGCGAAGGCAGUUUGCUGGACAGCAACUGACAGUGAGGCGCGAAAGCGUGGGGAGCAAACAGGAUUAGAUACCCUAGUAGUC
rnacentral:rRNA from 1 species